rnacentral:rRNA from 1 species
AAACCCUGAAAUCCCUGCCCUAACUUGGGGGUCGUUCUUUGUCUGGAGGGGUGGGUGACAGUGAGGUGGUUUGGUAAUUUUGGGGUCCAUCGUCAGUUGUAAGUUCCUACGGGAGGCAGCAGUGGGGAAUAUUGGACAAUGGGCGAAAGCCUGAUCCAGCCAUGCCGCGUGUGUGAAGAAGGUCUUCGGAUUGUAUUCACUUUAAGUUGGGAGGAAGGGCAGUAAGUUAAUACCUUGCUGUUUGACGUACCGACAGAAUACGCCGUAGCUAGC